CCUACGGGAGGCAGCAGUGAGGAAUAUUGGUCAAUGGUCGUAAGGCUGAACCAGCCAAGUCGCGUGAAGGAAGAAGGAACUAUGGUUUGUAAACUUCUUUUAUCGGGGAAUAAAGGUAUCCACGUGUGGAUAUUUGCAUGUACCUUAUGAAUAAGCAUCGGCUAACUCCGUGCCAGCAGCCGCGGUAAUACGGAGGAUGCGAGCGUUAUCCGGAUUUAUUUGGUUUAAAGGGUGCGUAGGUUGUUUUUUAAGUCAGCGGUGAAAGUCUGUGGCUCAACCAUAAAAUUGCCGUUGAAACUGGAAGUCUUGAGUGUGUGUGAGGUAGGCGGAAUGCGUGGUGUAGCGGUGAAAUGCAUAGAUAUCACGCAGAACUCCGAUUGCGAAGGCAGCAUACUAAGCCAUAACUGACGCUGAAGCACGAAAGCGUGGGGAUCAAACAGGAUUAGAUACCCUUGUAGUC
rnacentral:rRNA from 1 species